rnacentral:rRNA from 1 species
AUCUACAGCCAUGCUACCCUGAAUAAGCCCAAUCCCGUCUGAUUUCAGAAGCUAAGCAGGGUCAGGCCUGGUUAGUACUUGGAUGAAAGACCACCUAGGAAGACUAGGUGCUGUAGGAA